rnacentral:miRNA from 1 species
GGUUUCGCUGUACAGUACAGGCUGGCCUUGAGCUCACUUUGUAGCCCAGGCUGGUCUUGAACCCUGCAAGAUCUCCUGCCUCAGCCUCCCGAGUGCUGGGAUUACAGGCAUGAGCCACCAUGCCCG